AGUGGGCAGAUGAUGAAUCUCAUUUCAAUUAAUGGGUAAUUUGCGUCUGAACUAUCAUUGAUGCUAUUUCACCUUGGAGAGCUGAUGCCCACC
rfam:Punica granatum cultivar Dabenzi scaffold1233, whole genome shotgun sequence.